rnacentral:rRNA from 1 species
GGCGGCGUGCCUACACAUGCAAGUCGAGCGAACCUUCGGGGUGAGCGGCGGUACGGGUGCAGUAACGCGUGGGUAACCUGCCCUGUACACACGGAUAACAUACCGAAAGGUAUGCUAAUACGGGAUAACAUAUGAGAGUCGCAUGGCUUUUAUAUCAAAGCUUUUGCGGUACAGGAUGGACCCGCGUCUGAUUAGCUAGUUGGUAAGGUAACGGCUUACCAAGGCAACGAUCAGUAGCCGACCUGAGAGGGUGAUCGGCCACAUUGGAACUGAGACACGGUCCAAACUCCUACGGGAGGCAGCAGUGGGGAAUAUUGCACAAUGGGCGAAAGCCUGAUGCAGCAACGCCGCGUGAGCGAUGAAGGCCUUCGGGUCGUAAAGCUCUGUCCUCAAGGAAGAUAAUGACGGUACUUGAGGAGGAAGCCCCGGCUAACUACGUGCCAGCAGCCGCGGUAAUACGUAGGGGGCUAGCGUUAUCCGGAAUUACUGGGCGUAAAGGGUGCGUAGGCGGUCUUUCAAGCCAGAAGUGAAAGGCUACGGCUCAACCGUAGUAAGCUUUUGGAACUGUAGGACUUGAGUGCAGGAGAGGAGAGUGGAAUUCCUAGUG